rnacentral:rRNA from 1 species
UUCGCAAUGCCCGAAAGGGUGACGAUGCGACGCCGCGUGAGCGAAGAAGGCCCUAGGGUUGUAAAGCUCUGUCGAGGGUUAUGAAAUAUAGAUGGGUUAAUACCCCAUUUAUUUGACAAAAGCCCAAAAGGAAGCCACGGCUAACUCUGUGCCAGCAGCCGCGGUAAUACAGAGGUGGCGAGCGUUGUUCGGUAUUAUUGGGCGUAAAGAGCACGUAGGUGGUUUUAUAAGUCAGGUGUGAAAGCCUUCUGUUCAAAGGAAGAACGGCAUCUGAAACUGUAGAUCUUGAGUAUAGGAGGGGAGAGUGGAACUUCUGGUGGAGCGGUGAAAUGCGUAGAUAUCAGAAGGAACGUCGGCGGCGAAAGCGACUCUCUGGCCUAUUACUGACACUGAGGUGCGAAAGUUAGGGGAGCAAACGGGAUUAGAUACCCCGGUAGUCCUAACCGUAAACGAUGGGCACUAAGUAGAGGGGUUUU